CAGGAGGGCUCUGGGCUGCCCUUCGGGGCUCCUCAAGAGGGUCUUGGCAUAUCUGAGGGUGGGGUUUGUCCCUCCCUGGGCAUCAGGAGUGGGGGACAGGGAGGCCUUGGAACCCAGCGUCCCUGGGCAGCCUUACCUGGUUGAUGAAGUACUGCAUGGACCACGUGGGUGUGUAAAUCCCCACAGACAUCUGCUCUAAAGCAGGGCAGGGGGUGCUCAGGGCCUGCCUGCUCUGCCGGAAACCUCCCUACUUGAGGGCCCUGUACAGCCACCCUCAGGGGUGGUGGACAUGCUGUCCAUGGGCCUGCUCAGCCCAAGCUCACCCCUGGCCGCCCCCAGGAGAAGGCGAGUGAAGCCUGCAGGAAGCCAAGUCCCUGCAGUGGCCAUGGGACAGCACCUCUGGGCGGGGCAACAGCUGUACUCACCACAUGUCCCUUCAACUUGGGGAGGGCUCUGCCGAGAAUGUGCCUGUGAUGGGCCUGGAAUCUUAGCAAUGUCAGGAAUCCAGGGAUGAAGCCUGAGGAGCCCCCAGACCCCCACAAGUCAGAGCCUUGCCCAGAGGGGAGUGGAGUACCACAGGAGCCCCGAGUGGUGACCCCUGCCUGUGGGGCCCUCUUGAGCCCUGGCUGGACAUGCUCUUCCCAGGGAGGACAGCCUGUGAGGCCAGGGCAGAGGCCCUGCUCCUGGAUGCCCAGCUCAGCUGGUGCCCUGGGCAGAGGGGUGGGGAGGCAUCUGGCCCCGGCAUGCUGUCGCCACAGCAGGCACAGUGGGGGAUGGCAGGCCUGGCAUGGAGGGGCAGCGAGUGUGGCCCCCAGGGGAGAUGGGGGUGUGUGCCUGGCCAUCUCCUGGCCUCUGCAACCAGGCUGGGGGCAGAGGAGGUGGUGUUGCUGCCUGGGCUUCACGUGGCUGUGGGCUUGCGGGGUGCCUGGUGGAUGGCAGGCUUGAGGCAGAAGGACCAGCAGCGAAGGAAGGGAGAGUGGUCUGCAUGAGGCUGGGACUGAGGGCUGAGGUUCCAGAACCCAAAGGGCAGCGUGGGGAACCAGUGUCCUUUGCUGAUGGGGAGCUGUCCUGGGCCAGGGUCCCCACCAGCCCCCCUGCAAAGAGACCCUCGAUCCUCAGGCUUGCCCAGCCGUCCUCAGCAGGCACCUAUUGCGCAUGACGUGCUUCUCAUCAGUCAUCAGCUGGAACAACCUCCAGAAGGUGUCGUCCUCGUUCAGGAACAUCAGUAGGACGGCCACGACCUCAUUCAUGCCCUGGAAGUAGCCCACCUCCUGCAAGAGCCAGAUGUGCGUGGAGGACCCCCUGGAGCCCACCUCUGCUCUUGGAUUCAUCAGCCCAUGGCCUGCCAUGGCCACCAGCGGUCACUCCUGUUCUUGACACCUUUGGGAUGUUUCUUCUCGUGGAAACCCACCCCCAGGAUGGGAAAGAGGGGCAUCCCAGUGACUCACAGCAAGGAACCUAGCCUGUUGGCGACACUGUACACUGAGAGAUCUGUAUCCUUACCUGGUUCCCGCAUCCUCCUUGUAUGGCCCAAAAGCCAGAGGGGGCUGAGAGAUGCCAGGAAAGGCAGGGCAGGACAACUCCCCACCCUGCAUCCCAGGGGCACAGCACCAGGCCUGCCUCACUCAGUGGGAUCUGCCUGGGCCUCACCUCGUACCUGGCUAGGAUCAUGCCUGGGCCACCUGGUCCCAUUUGUGGUGACCCCCACCUGAGCCAUACCCACUCAUCCUGGGGAGGAGGAUGUCCACUCAGGCUUGCUCUGCUCAGCUUUCGCUGUGACUCCUACCUGGAAUGUGAGUGCUCUUGCUGCCCAUGGUUCCCGCUGGGCUGUACCUGUGCACACAUGGCAAUGGGUCCCACCUGGGCCUCACCUGCUCCUCCUUGGCUAUGAUCCCACCAGGGACAUCCCUGCUCCUGCUGGCCAUGUGGGCUGGCAUGGCCCCCCUGGGCCUCACCUGCUGCGUGCUGACUGUGCUCCCCGCCUGAGCUGUACCUGUUCCUACUGGUAACCAUCCUUACGUGGCCUUCCAUCGUCUACCCAGGGAUGACCUCGGCCUGGCCUCCCUUGCUUAUUCUUGGCGCUGGUUCCUCCUGGGACAUACCUGAUUCUGUGGGCUAGGAUGCUCGCCUGGGCUGCAGUGAUUCCCACUUGGGAAAUGUACCUUUUCUGAUGGGUGAUGUUACCAGUUCUACCUGGCUAGGAUCCCUGCCGGGUCUCAGCUGCCUGUCCUUGGCUCAGAUCCCUGCUUGGGUGCACCUGCUCUUGUCUAUGAUCCCUGUUGGGGUCUCACCUGCUCAUAUUUUGUUAUAAUUUCUUCUCGUUCCAAGGCUAGUAGGGUCUCCAGCUUCUCCAUGUUGGAUGCUGCAAGACAAAAUCCAUGUAUUCCAGUGCCCUAAAGAGCUUCAGGGACCCAGCAAGUGGAAGUUGGCUCCCUGUUGGCAGCUUCCUGGUCAUAGAGGGAGAAAUCAGACAUUAGUGCCCCCUUAGUGCGUGGGAUCCCCUUUGGCAAUCAUGGCUUGCAUCCACACCUAAUACUUCCACUUCUAGAUUUCAGAAUGGGGUAGACCUUUCUCCAAAGUCCACCCAGCUUUAGAAAACAAGGCCAACAGGCUCAGGGGGAGCUUCCCAACCUCAUCGGCCAUCAGGGAGAUGCAAGUCAAGACCACAGGGCACACCACUUCUCACCCAUGGAAACUUUAUUCCCAAUAACAGGAUGUGGAGAGAUUGCAACUCUCCUGUACUGCAGGCAGGAAAUGGUGUCCCUACACUGUGGAUCGGUGAACGAAAUUGGGCACAAGAGACCAUAUAUUGUAUGAUUCCAUUGAUCUGAAGUGUCCAGCAUCACCAGGUCCAUAGAGACAGAAACUGGAUCGGGGGGCCCCAGGGCUGGGGGAUGGGCGAGGGGUGGGUAUCUGCUGAUGGAUAAGAGACUUUGACGAGGUGGUGACACGUGGAUGGAUAAGAGACUUUGACGAGGUGGUGACACGUGGAUGCAGUGGUGAUGGUAGCAGGAGUCUGUAAAAUAAAGACCUCUGAAUAGUCUACUUGAGCUAAAGUGGAUGAUGUGUGAAUUUCAGAGAAAGCUCUUUGAGCCGGAUUCGCCCCAGGAGCCCUGAAAGGGGCAGUGAGAGACUUCACUUAGAUUAAAACACAACCAGGGGCUCUCAUGUUCGAGGGCAGCAGUCCUGAGCUUCUGCCC
ensembl:lncRNA